rnacentral:misc_RNA from 1 species
GUUGGUGAACCAGCGGAGGGAUCAUUAUAGAGUUGCAAAACUCCCAUCCUUUGUGAAUAGUACCAAGUUGCUUCGGUAGGCAAACCCAGGGCGGGUUUAUGGCCUUUGAUUAGGUGCCUGCCGGAGGCCCAAACUCAUAUAAUUAUAGUAUUUUCUGAGGUAUAAAACAAAUAAGUUAAAACUUUCAGCAACGGAUCUCUUGGUUCUG